GCACAUUUUAGGUGUCACCAUGGCAAGUCUGCAGCAGGGGAGGAUUUUCCUGUGUACAAAGAGACUGAUCCAUUAUUUUUAAGAUUAUUACUGAAUACCAGUACAUGAAAAAAGGAAUGUAGUCAAAAAUAUCAAAAAAAAGAUAUUUGAAGAAGCUCCCUUAAAUUAUCAACUAUAAUCACUGUAAUUAUUAUAAUUUAGGACUAUAUUAGCACCUAAAGACCCCAGUUCCAUGUUCCAGAAAUUGUUUAGAUAUAAGGUGGGUGAAGGGUUCAGCUACCAGCAGAGAAGUGAAAUAUUUUCCAGCGUGUUACAAAAGAUAACGUGCUAGAUUGUGCUCCUAGGACUGGACAACCCUGCAAUGUUUGCUGCAAUGAGAACACAGGCGGUUGCUUAAACCAGUAACAUCGCUUUCACAUGGCUGAAGUCUGAUGGAAUGGAUACAGACUUGUCUCUUCUUCAGAUGGUCAGGAGAAGGCACUAACCAUUCCCAGUCAGAAUGCUCAGAAGGACAAAGAGAGAGCUGUGAGCUCUGCACAAUGUGCUCCUUGUACAGCAGAGACAGAUUCCUUCAAAGUCAGUUAAAUUGCUAGCAACAUCUAACACAGGAAAAGGAAAAGAAGAAAAAGAAAAAUA
rnacentral:lncRNA from 1 species